rnacentral:rRNA from 1 species
GUUGGUGAACCCAGCGGAGGGAUCAUUACAGAGUUGCAAAACUCCCUAAACCAUUGUGGACGCUACCUUUUAACGUUGCUUCGGCGGGCGGCCCGCUCCCCUGGAAAGCCCCUGUGGCCGCCCGGGGCUGCGAGCCCCCCGGCCCCCCUCGCGGGGGCGCCCGCCGGAGGAUACCCAACUCUUGAUUAUUUUAGGCCUCUCUGAGUCUUCUGUACUGAAUAAGUCAAAACUUUCAACAACGGAUCUCUUGGUUCUGGCAUCGAUGAAGAACGCAGCGAAAUGCGAUAAGUAAUGUGAAUUGCAGAAUUCAGUGAAUCAUCGAAUCUUUGAACGCACAUUGCGCCCGCCAGUAUUCUGGCGGGCAUGCCUGUUCGAGCGUCAUUUCAACCAUCAAGCCCCAGGCUUGUGUUGGGGACCUGCGGCUGCCGCAGGCCCUGAAAUCCAGUGGCGGGUUCGCUGUCACCCCGAGCGUAGUAGCAAUAUCUCGCUCAGGGCGUGCUGCGGGCCCGGCCGUU